rnacentral:rRNA from 1 species
GACCGGCGCACGGGUGAGUAACGCGUAUCCCACCUGCCCACCACUUGGGGAUAACCUUGCGAAAGUAAGACUAAUACCCAAUGACGUCUCUAGAAGACAUCUGAAGGAGAUUAAAGAUUUAUCGGUGAUGGAUGGGGAUGCGUCUGAUUAGCUUGUUGGCGGGGUAACGGCCCACCAAGGCGACGAUCAGUAGGGGUUCUGAGAGGAAGGUCCCCCACAUUGGAACUGAGACACGGUCCAAACUCCUACGGGAGGCAGCAGUGAGGAAUAUUGGUCAAUGGGCGAGAGCCUGAACCAGCCAAGUAGCGUGCAGGAAGACGGCCCUAUGGGUUGUAAACUGCUUUUAUAAGGGAAUAAAGUGAGUCUCGUGAGACUUUUUGCAUGUACCUUAUGAAUAAGGACCGGCUAAUUCCGUGCCAGCAGCCGCGGUAAUACGGAAGGUCCGGGCGUUAUCCGGAUUUAUUGGGUUUAAAGGGAGCGUAGGCCGGAGAUUAAGCGUGUUGUGAAAUGUAGACGCUCAACGUCUGCACUGCAGCGCGAACUGGUUUCCUUGAGUACGCACAAAGUGGGCGGAAUUCGUGGUGUAGCGGUGAGAUGCUUAGAUAUCACGAAGAACUCCGAUUGCGAAGGCAGCUCACUGGAGCGCAACUGACGCUGAAGCUCGAAAGUGCGGGUAUCGAACAGGAUUAGAUACCCUGGUAGUCCGCACGGUAAACGAUGGAUGCCCGCUGUUGGCCUGAACAGGUCAGCGGCCAAGCGAAAGCAUUAAGCAUCCCACCUGGGGAGUA